rnacentral:tRNA from 1 species
AUUCAUAUAGCUUAAAAUAGAGCAUAGUAUUGAAGAUACUAAGGUAAUAAUUAAUUUAUGAGUA